rnacentral:lncRNA from 1 species
UGUGAGAGUGCUUGGGCCAGGACCCCGCCACACUGGGCGCGACUGAGUCACACUCCAGCGGCGCCUUGCCCCCGGGGGCUGGAGCUGGCGCCACCCUGGGUGUGGUCACUGAGCUGUGGCCCUGGGCAGAGCAGGGCUGGGUGGUCCAGGGCUUGGGGCGUCGUGGCCAGGAGCCAGGAGGUGCCUUCCGAGAUGCCUCGGCCUCCCCUGGCUUGGGCUCCCAUGGCCACCCCGACUGCGGGCGCCCUCGCCCUGGGGAGCCUUGGGUUCCCAGGGGAGGAGGGAGCCCGUCAGAGCCAGCCACCUGGGCUGCGGAUGUGGCUCCGUGGAGGAGCCCCUGCCCGGGGCCUGGGCGCCACCUCCAGCACCAGAGAAAGAAAAAGGCACCAGUGACUGUCCUCGAGGCCAGUGGUCCCGGAAAACCAGGCCAGGGCUUGGAAGCGGACCUGUCAGAGAAGGUGCCAGCCUCUGGGCCCACCCAGUGCCCCUCCCCCUGUGCCACGGCCGGCUGGGGUUCCUGGGGAUGGGAUUUGCUGCCAAUCACAAAUCACAUUGCCAGGGAUUUCCAACCGACCCUGAGCUCUGCCUCCGGGGCCACCGUUGCUGCUGAGGAUGUCACCGGGGACAGAGUGUCAGAUGCCCUGCCAUCACCUAUGCUGGCCUGAGGAGCAGGGCUUAGCUGCUUGUGAGCAGGAUCCACACCAAGUCGUGUUCACAGUGGCUAAGUUCCGCCCCCCGGGCUCCCACCUCCUCGGGGCCUGCCCGCUGCCCACUGCCCGCUGCCCGCUCCCUGGGCUCCGCCCCCCGUGCCUACUGAGCUGAAACACAGUUGGUUCGUGCACACUGGCUCAGUUCAGCAGGAACAGGGGUCAAGCCCCCUCGGAGUCCGCAGCCCCUGUGCGGCUGGGUCAGCCGCCCAAAGGUGAGGCCAGCCCCAGACCCAGGUGUGUCUGGAGAAGGGAUGUAGAAAGGAGGGGGUGGCCGGCCCAGCUGGCUGUCCUGUCUGCUGCAGGUCUCUUCUCCCUAGACUGCCCUUUGGGGACCCUCCCAUGGCCACACUGUGGGUUGGGCUGUGGUCCCCGGUGGACAUGGAGAUAGGUGGGUGGCCCUUCCAGAAAAAGGGAAGCCAGCUGUGUCCCCUCCGGUCUGGCACCCCAGCCCCUCCUCUCCCCAGCCUGCCCCUGUCCCAUCAACGAGGCAGUUACCCAAGAGGAAGCUGCUCGGCCCCUGACCGUUAAGUGCCAACUCCCAGCUUCCGGAACCCAGCUGGCCUGGCCUGGCCUGGCCUGGCCGAGUGAGCCUGGCCCUGCUCCCGGGGCCUGCAGACUCCUAAUUGUGGGGAUGAACAGUGACACCUGUGCCUACCGGGAACGAGGGACAGGGAACCAGGUCCAGGUGGGCCCACACAAGCAGGCUGACCUCCUCCUGGUGGCCUUGAAGGUGGAACUUAAAGCCUAUCCUGAAAUUGGCUGGGAUGAGAGCCCCUUGGGGUGGGACCCAGAGGCUGAGGGGAGCCCCCAGGCCAUCAGCGCUGGACCGGGUCCUCUUUCCCAGCCCAGGGGCAGGCCGAAGCCCAGGGUGGGAGGGAGAGUUUGUGUUGUGUGUUGUGCAGUUAAUUAAAUAAAGUCACUAGCCU